rnacentral:misc_RNA from 1 species
CGCACAUUGCGCCCCUUGGUAUUCCGAGGGGCAUGCCUGUUCGAGCGUCAUUUCAACCAUCAAGCCCAGCUUGGUAUUGGACGCGGUCGUAGGACCCGUCCGCAACUCGUUGGCGGUGCCGUCCGGCCUCAAGCGUAGCAGAAACCUCGCUUCGAGAGCUCGCGGCGGCGCCCGCCAGAGGAACCACUACGUUUCUACAGUUUGACCUCGGAUCAGGUAGGGAUACCCGCUGAACUUAA